ensembl:snoRNA SNORD61 small nucleolar RNA, C/D box 61
GCUAUGAUGAGUUUCAUUGUAUUGAUCAUUUGAAGUGAUAAUAUAUUUUGUCCUCUAAGAAGUUCUGAGCUU